rnacentral:rRNA from 1 species
AGAGUUUGAUCCUGGCUCAGGAUGAACGCUGGCGGCGUGCUUAACACAUGCAAGUCGAACGAUUAACCCAUCUUCGGAUGGUUAUAGAGUGGCGAACGGGUGAGUAACACGUGACCAACCUGCCUUUCACAUUGGGAUAACCCAGGGAAACUUGUGCUAAUACCAAAUACUCCGGUACUUCCGCAUGCUAGUACCGGGAAAGCUCCGGCGGUGAAAGAUGGGGUCGCGGCCCAUUAGGUAGUUAGUGGGGUAACGGCCUACCAAGCCCGCGAUGGGUAGCCGGGUUGAGAGACUGAUCGGCCACAUUGGGACUGAGAUACGGCCCAGACUCCUACGGGAGGCAGCAGUGGGGAAUUUUGCGCAAUGGGGGCAACCCUGACGCAGCAACGCCGCGUGCGGGAUGACGGCCUUCGGGUUGUAAAACCGCUUUCAGUAGGGAAGAAAUUGACGGUACCUACAGAAGAAGCUCCGGCUAAAUACGUGCC